CAGUCGCCGCGGUAAUACGGAGGGGGCUAGCGUUGUUCGGAAUUACUGGGCGUAAAGCGCACGUAGGCGGCUUGGUAAGUUAGAGGUGAAAGCCUGGAGCUCAACUCCAGAAUUGCCUUUAAGACUGCCGAGCUAGCAGGUGAGAGAGGUAAGUGGAAUUCCGAGUGUAGAGGUGAAAUUCGUAGAUAUUCGGAAGAACACCAGUGGCGAAGGCGGCUUACUGGCUCAUACUGGACGCUGAGGUGCGAAAGCAUGGGGAGCAAACAGGAUUAGAUACCCCCGUAGUCCCUGUCUCUUAUAC
rnacentral:rRNA from 1 species